rnacentral:sRNA from 1 species
UGUGGUCCGGCGUUGAAGGGUUAUCGAUAAUCCUUUGGGAACUUUCCCUUCAACACAAACUCGACCGAC